UUGGCAGCACUUACCGAACAUGCUGGCAGCCAAGACGAUCUUCUCAAAUUUGAAGGACUAGUGGACUCGUGGACGUGUCCCCGCCAUCCCUAAUUUCAUAACAAAAGAAAACAAAAACAUAGUAAUUGAUAACUUGUAUUAUAUUCAUAUGACCUCCAAAAUAUCACCUGAUAUGAAAGAACAGAUUCAAACUUCACUUAC
rnacentral:lncRNA from 1 species